ACAGACAUGUAAAAUGUCCAAAUACUAUUUUGCAUCAUUCCAAUCUAAGUCUUUAACCUUUUCAGGUUUUUUUGUUUUCCACAAGAAAAUUAUAAGUUUUGUCCCCUAAUCAAAAGCCAGUUUGAGAUUUCAAUUAAAAAUGGAGAAGGAGAAAAAAACAAACAGUAAGGCUAGACGUCUGAGGUCAAGGCGUGGGCAGGAUUGGUUUCUUUUGAGGCCUUUCUCGCUGGCGUAUAGAUGGCCAUCUUCUCCCGAUGUCUUCAAAUGGUCUUCCUUCUGCAUGAAUCUGUCUCCUGAUCCCAUAAGGGCAACAGUCAUAUGGAUAUAGGGCCCAUUCUGAUGACCUCAUUUUAACUCAAUUACCUCUUUAGAGACACUAUAUCCAAAAAUAGUCACAUUCUGAGGUACUGGGGAUUGAGACUCCAAUGUAUGAAUUUUGGAAGGACACAAUUCAAUUAAUAACACUUCACUCUGAAAAACAGUUCAGCAGUUUCUAAUAAAGUUAAAC
rnacentral:lncRNA from 1 species